rnacentral:tRNA from 1 species
GGGGGCGGUUAGGGUACUGGUGUCUCUCCCGGUCUUCAAAACCGCGCGUACGGCAUGACUGUCGUAGCUGGGUUCGAUUCCCAGACGCUCCC